CAGCGCCCUCUGGGGGCCGGCGGAGCGAUAGAUGUUCACUGAAUUAAACGUAAAAGAUGGAGCCAACGUUCAGUCCGCCGCUUCACAUGCAGAGGCAUCAAUUUGUCAUCGAUUUUGUCAAGAGGAACAAAACACAAAAGGUGGUGGACUUGGGGUGCAGUGAGUGCAGCCUUCUCAAAAAACUGAAGUUUCACCGUGAAAUUGAACUGCUGGUUGGAGUGGACAUCAACGGUGCCAAAGUAAAAAGAAAGAUGCAUGGAUUAGCUCCUAUAUCAAGUUACUAUCUGCAGCCAACAUAUGAUCAGCUGCGCAUUGAGCUGUACCAGGGCUCAGUCACACAGAAAGAUGUCCGCCUCAGAGGAUUUGAUCUGGCGACCUGUAUAGAGCUCAUAGAGCACCUCACACUUGCUGAUGUGGAGCGCUUCUCUGAGGUGGUAUUUGGUUACAUGACCCCAGUGGCGGUUAUCGUCAGCACCCCUAACUCUGAGUUCAACCCCCUUUUCCCUGGUCUGACAGGUUUCAGGCACAGUGACCACAAGUUUGAGUGGACCAGAGCAGAGUUCAAGUCCUGGGCUCUUAAGGUGUGUUUGGAGUACGGUUAUGAGGUGGACUUUACUGGUGUUGGACAGGCACCACCAGGCCAGCAGGAGAGAGUCGGCUUCUGCUCCCAGAUUGGUGUGUUUCACCGGCUUGGAGGGAGAGAUUCCUGCAACAUGUUGUAUGGUGACGAUGCUGAGGAUAUGUUUUCAUACACACUGCUGUAUAGUAUAAACUACCCCAGCCUGCGUGACCAAAACAUCUUGCGUAGGGUGCUGGUGAGUGAAGUGUUGUACUGGGCAGAAAAGCUGAAGGGAAGAUGGCUCGAGCAGAAGAGGGAUUACAGUUUUACACUGUGCCAGACUGAGGGAGGAGUGUCAGAGCGACGCAUGGAGAUGGAAAACAAACAGACAGCAUACGCAACAGAAGCAUGUGGAGCAGAGAUGUGUGGCAGAGGUGUGGCAGAAGAUACGGAAAGAAAGGAUGAAGAGUUGUCUUGGACAAAUGUUCAAGGUCAACAGGAGUUGCACAGGUUUGUGUCUGUACCUCUGGCUGUGCUGUGGUACCGCUGCCCCAAAGUCAGCGCCCUAAGUGGAAAUCUCACUAAUCUCAAACACAUCCUGAUGGAGGCCCCUGAAGUAAAAUUGAGCCAGGACGGUUCUGCUGUGCUUGUACAGGACCAAGGCUUUGAAGAAAAAGGGGAUUGUAAUGAUUUGGAGGACAGUGGGUAUGCAGAGGCCAGCCAGUACUCCCACAGUGAUGAGCAAGAGCAAGCCUGGGACGCAAAUGUUUGAUCUGCAAGAUACAGCUUUGUUUUCGGGACAAAACGAAUCAUUUGAUAUGACGUCAGUGAAUAUCCUACCUGGUGGGAAGGUGAUGGCUUCCAAGGGCUGUGCUUCCCCCAGGACCAACAAACAAACGCAAGCCUUCCUCUGAAACAGACACAGUUGCGGUAACAUUUGCUUUGAGCUGGAUGAGACCUUGGAAAGAAAAACAAUGCCCUACUCCUCAGAGUACACAGACUGACUUGACUUGUGAGUGACAAAACAAGAUGGAGAAAAUCUGCCUAGAACUUGCACAACAAUGACACCUGAAAGAAUAAAACCUGCAGAUAUGGCAAUUCUAAAAA